CACCGCGGUUAUACGAGAGGCCCAAGCUGACAGAUAUCGGCGUAAAGAGUGGUUAGGUAAUUAAAAACUAAAGUUCAACAUCUUCCAAGCUGUCAUACGCACCCGAAAAAAUGAAAAUCUAACACGAAAGUAACUUUAAACCCCUGAACCCACGAAAGCCAUGAAA
rnacentral:rRNA from 1 species